rnacentral:lncRNA from 1 species
AUGUGGGCUCAUAAGUUAAUGUUUGCAAAGUGCUUUGAACUUCUUGGGAAAAGGGAUGGUGUUUUUGUUGGCACUGUGUAUUGUUUGCAGUGGCACACAAAUUCCUCCUCCUCCUCUUCCUCCAGCUGCCAGCACUGUGCCCUCCCCCAGCUCUGUGCAGGGCCAAUAUCUCCCACAGGGCAGCCUCAUGGCCUUUACUGCCUCUCUCCAGCCAGCUCCAGCACUACAGGACAGAGAUUGGAAUUAAAUGUCACGUGGAAAAAAGCCAACAUGGCAUUCUGUUAAGAAGAUAGACAACCUAAGUGAUGUCUAUCCUGCUUCAAAGAAAAAACUCAGGUAAGUCUGACUUUAGUUGAACCACAUGAAGUUAACCAAGAGCAAGGCUUAGGUUUUGUUUUUAAAAAAUAUAUAGAAGGAAAACUCCUUCCAACUAAAAUACAUUCAUUAUUUACCUGAAAACAAAAGUAGGUGGAGCUGAAUUUGUAGUUAGAUUAUAGUAAGUAGCAUUUGAAACUCUGAAAGCUUAGAGUCCACAUAAAAGCCACAAGUACAACAUUUAUAUGGGAGUAACUCCAGAUGAGAAAUGGUUUCUUUUGUCACUUGAUUCAGUAUAAGAUGAAUUUUUUAUUUGUACAGAGCUUGAGAAUCACAUAGGCAUCGCUGAAUUUUUCUUUUUUUCCAAUCUCUAUUUGUGAGUAUUUGAUACUAGACAGUUUGUCCAUGUCCUGAAAUAAAUGGAUGAGAACUCAUUUCAGGGAAGAUAAGGUGAGCAGUCUGAAUUAGGGGGAGGCUGUAUUUCCUUUUCAUUAUGUUAAUGACCUGUUGCAUUUCAGGAGGCUGUACAUUCAUUUAGAGCAGAGUAGACGAAACCUCCUAUGCUCUGGCUUGGGAACCAGGAGGAAUCACUGACUGAGAUUUGCCAACCAGACCUCUAUGGUAAGUUUGAAUUUGAAAUGUGUGGGUUGAUUUUCAUUAUUCAUUAUUUCUUUUGAUCUUGGGGAGGGGAAGAAAUUAACAAAUUUUAAUGCAGUGUUAUAUAUUCAAAUAAAUAUCAUAUUGAGGAAAUUAUUGCUGGAAAUUUUUUAUUCAAGUGUUUAAUGAGUAAGCUGACUGACUUGUCAUCCAAGUAUUUUGGACUUCUUGUUGAUACUAGGUUUCGCCUAUUUUUUCUUAUAUGAUCAGUGGAUUUGCUAUGGGGAUAUCUUAUGUCAAGGCAGAUGUCGAGUUUAUGACAUUUAGACAUCUAUUUUUGAUAAUGGAAGGGUUCAAUAAAUACAAGAGUGUGACAUCAACACAAGGAGAAGGAAAGAGACAAGAGAUUGGUCUAGGAAGUUGAAGGUUCUUAUUAAGAAAAAAGAAAGGAGGGAGAUGGUGAAAAGCCAAUUUUACAUUGGUUAAGCACUAGAACUCAAACAUGAUAUUCUAAUGAUGAAGACAGGUUGAGUGGGCUCAUGGGAGUGUGUGUGUGAAACAGAAAGAGAG